UCGUCGUUCGACGGAGCUCGAAAGGGUGACGUCGGAGGGAGGAAAGUCCGAACUCCGCAGGGCAGUGCGCCGGGUAACGCCCGGUCGGGGUAACCCGAAGGAAAGUGGCACAGAAAAUAUACCGCUUAUGCGGUGGUGACAUCGCGUGAGUAAGGGUGAAAAGGUGCGGUAAGAGCGCACCGCGCCGGUGGCGACAUCGGUGGCAGGCAAAACCCCGCACGGAGCAAGGCCAAAUAGGGGAGUCAGAAUCUGCCGGCGCCGCAAGGAUGCCGGUGGAGGAAUCGAACGGCCCGUUCGACGAACUUCCGGGUAGGCUGCUUGAUCCCGCCAGUAAUGGCGGGGCUAGAGGAAUGAUCGUCACGCCGAAGCUCGCGGCCGCAAGGCCGUAAGCGAAGGCGGACAGGAUUCGGCUUACGCGGCAACAUCAAUC
rnacentral:RNase_P_RNA from 1 species